AUUGAACGCUGGCGGCAUGCUUUACACAUGCAAGUCGAGCGGCAGCGCGGGGGCAACCCUGGCGGCGAGCGGCGGACGGGUGAGUAAUGCAUCGGAACGUAUCCCGUAGUGGGGGACAACCCAGCGAAAGCUGGGCUAAUACCGCAUAUGCUCUACGGAGGAAAGCAGGGGACUCGCAAGAGCCUUGUGCUAUGGGAGCGGCCGAUGUCCGAUUAGCUAGUUGGUGGGGUAAAGGCUUACCAAGGCGACGAUCGGUAGCUGGUCUGAGAGGAUGAUCAGCCACACUGGGACUGAGACACGGCCCAGACUCCUACGGGAGGCAGCAGUGGGGAAUUUUGGACAAUGGGGGCAACCCUGAUCCAGCCAUGCCGCGUGCGGGAAGAAGGCCUCGG
rnacentral:rRNA from 1 species